rnacentral:ncRNA from 1 species
CUUAUCAAGAGAGGCAGAGGGACAGGCCCUGUGAAGCCCAGCAACCACUCCAUAAAUUAUUGGAGACGGUGCUAAAUCCUACUAACAAAGAUGUUAGAGAGAUGAGG